GAGCAAAUAAAGAUCAAAACUUAUAUACUCGAUAAACAUAAGAUUAUGUUGAAUCCUUAAUUCUUAAUGACUUCAAAGUUCUUUCAUGAUAUAAAAGUAUUGGGGCAUAGAUACCAAAACAUGAAUUUAUGCAGUGUAGGAUACAUAAAAUUCAAGGCUUUGAAAGUUCUUUUAGAGCUCUCUUAAAGACUUUCUUUUACUCCUUUAAAGAUCAUAGCAUCAAAUCAAUUAAAAUGAAUUGGCUCAGGAUUGAAACACUAAAGUGCAAGCCAAUAAGAACUCAUAAGUAAAUUCCAAGAUAAAUUUUCGAAACUAAGACAGAUGGAAUCCUUUUCAAUUAAUUUUCAGAAAUAAAUGAUUUACCGAUGAAUACAGAUGGAAAUCCAACUUUCAAAAGAUAUUCAAUGAAGCACAAAGUUUAAUACCACUUUACAUUUAGUAUUCUUUAUCUCAUCUUUAGAUACGAAUUUAUACGAUUAAGUUCUAUAUGA
rnacentral:lncRNA from 1 species